GUGAGGAAUAUUGCACAAUGGGCGAAAGCCUGAUGCAGCAACGCCGCGUGGAUGAUGAAGGCCUUCGGGUUGUAAAAUCCUUUUCUGGAGGAAGAGAAAGGACGGUACUCCAGGAAUAAGCGUCGGCGAACUACGUGCCAGCAGCCGCGGUAAGACGUAGGACGCGAGCGUUAUCCGGAUUUACUGGGCGUAAAGCGCGUGCAGGCGGCAUGGAAAGUCGGACGUGAAAGCUCUUGGCUUAACUGAGAGAGGUCGUUCGAAACUACCAAGCUCGAGGACGGUAGAGGGGAGUGGAAUUCCGGGUGUAGUGGUGAAAUGCGUAGAUAUCCGGAGGAACACCAGUGGCGAAGGCGGCUCCCUGGGCCGUUCCUGACGCUGAGACGCGAAAGCUAGGGGAGCGAACGGGAUUAGAAACCCCAGUAGUCC
rnacentral:rRNA from 1 species